rnacentral:rRNA from 1 species
UACGUAGGUGGCAAGCGUUGUCCGGAAUUAUUGGGCGUAAAGCGCGCGCAGGCGGCCUCUUAAGUCUGAUGUGAAAGCCCCCGGCUCAACCGGGGAGGGCCAUUGGAAACUGGGAGGCUUGAGUAUAGGAGAGAAGAGUGGAAUUCCACGUGUAGCGGUGAAAUGCGUAGAGAUGUGGAGGAACACCAGUGGCGAAGGCGACUCUUUGGCCUAUAACUGACGCUGAGGCGCGAAAGCGUGGGGAGCAAACAGGG